GACGAACGCUGGCGGCGUGCCUAAUACAUGCAAGUAGAACGCUGAAGGAGGAGCUUGCUUCUCUGGAUGAGUUGCGAACAGGUGAGUAACGCGUAGGUAACCUGCCUGGUAGCGGGGGAUAACUAUUGGAAACGAUAGCUAAUACCGCAUAAGAGUAGAUGUUGCAUGACAUUUGCUUAAAAGGUGCAAUUGCAUCACUACCAGAUGGACCUGCGUUGUAUUAGCUAGUUGGUGGGGUAACGGCUUACCAAGGCGACGAUACAUAGCCGACCUGAGAGGGUGAUCGGCCACACUGGGACUGAGACACGGCCCAGACUCCUACGGGAGGCAGCAGUAGGGAAUCUUCGGCAAUGGACGGAAGUCUGACCGAGCAACGCCGCGUGAGUGAAGAAGGUUUUCGGAUCGUAAAGCUCUGUUGUAAGAGAAGAACGAGUGUGAGAGUGGAAAGUUCACACUGUGACGGUAUCUUACCAGAAAGAGACGGCUAACUACGUG
rnacentral:rRNA from 1 species